UUAUUUGGUUUUCCCAUCUCACUCCCCCCACUUGGAAAACCUUCUUUCUCAACUGCCACCUCCGAGACCGAGAAGACUGUGAGAGAGACAAAAAGAGUCACAGAGAGUUUUGAAUUAGGUGAAAUUCUGUUGCUGUAGAUUAGAUAUAGAUAGAUUCCUAUUGAUCCCAAACCUAAUUUUCGAAUUUUGAAAUCAAAACUCCAAUUCCAUUUUCUCUGCGAAAUUUUUUUUUUCAUUUAAAUUUAAAUUUAUUAUCACGUUGGACGAUUCGAAUUCCAAUUUAUAGCAGUUUAUUUGGAGUUCUUAAUGCUGAUUGAUGACGAGCUUUAACCUCAUAUCCCAAAAUGCCGGUUAUCUUUGCUCGUGAGGCUCCCAAGCUAUGGAGGAAAGUAUGCGCAGAGACGUCAACUGAAAUUUCGCUUCUUUCCGGGACUUGGAAGUA